CUCACUCAGUCGUCCCUCUCUAGAUCUCCCUCGCUCUCAGUCAUCCCUCUCUCGCUCUCUCUCUGAUCUUAUCCCUCCGCCAACUUUGAUCUGAUCUCUGUCUGAUCUGAUCCCUCGGCCAACUUAGGGUGUAAGAAGUGGGAGAUGGAUCUGAAGCUCUAGUUAAUUUCCUCACGCAGCAUUGUUCGUUCAUCACCGAUAGAAGGUUAAAUUGAAAGCCUACAUGACCUAGGAUAGAUAUCCUCCUUUCGCUGGUUUAGUUUAAUACUAAAAUUGCUUUAGUAUUCAUUUUAUUAUUGUGUUCGCUUGUUAUCAGUCAUUUCUUUCGCUUGCUCGCUUACCCAGAAUGGCCUUCUACUCGCAACACUGAUUCGAUUAAGCCCUCUUUUUCAUAGUUUUGAUGGGAAAUUCUUCUCCCCCAAUCCAUUGUUUACCCCCUCCCAGCAAUCGUUGUAUCUAGAAAUGGUUUAUCUGGGACAACGCCAGUUGGUUUGGGCAUACCUGUUUGCCCAUUUUUUUUUCUUUGUGGUUUUAGGGAACUGACAAUAACUAGUUGCCCCUGUUCUGAAAACCACUGAUUCUAGCAGCGUCUGCUUCAUGUACAUGGGGUUUUGUGAUCUAGAUCUGCUAUAUUUGGAUUUUUGUAGAUUAAAGCACUUUUCUCCACCCUAUUUUGCAGAACGAAGACUGAUUCCAAGCCUAAUCUGUGAGGACCAUAAUGGAGAUCUAGAAAUUGGUUUUCAUGGUUUUUUUCCUCAAAAGUAGCUGAAACGGGUUUCAACUUUAUACUGCACCUGUUUAGUGCCUCUUCUCAAAGUUCAUGUUGGCUCUGUUACGACUUAUUUCAUAUUGCUGAUUGGGAGAAUGGAAAGGCUUCCCUUUUCUUGAGUAGGAGCCUACAGGGAGUUCUCAAUAUCUUUUGCCUGUGUGCAGAGGAGGUUCAAAUGCUCUGUCUUCACAAGACUUUAUUGAGAUAUUGACCAGAAGACUGUUAGAUCAUGGUUUGAUGAGUAUACAAUCUGUAGCAACACUACAUUUGUUCUAUUGAGAUUGAAUAGGUUCCAGGAAGGGAGACUACUACCGGUACCUAGCUGAAUUUAAAACUGGGGUUGAUCGUAAGGAGGCUGCAGAUCAGUCACUCAAGUCUUACCAGGCUGCCACUAAUAUUUGCUGCAACAGAUCUGCCACCAACUCAUCCAAUUAGGCUUGGCCUGGCCUUGAACUUGUCUUUUACUAUGAGAUAUUGAAUUCCCCUGAGAGCAUUGGAGCUAAAAAGGUAUAGAACGAGGCUACACAGUUCAGGGAGUUCUGCAAGGCAGGAAAUGCUGAAGGGUUUUCUUCUUCUUCUUCUUCUUUCUAAUUCUCAAGUUUCAUAAAACAUGCAUGUUAUUGGUGAACUGAAGACACAGUUAGACGGCUGAAAUAGAAUAGGUUCUUAUUGGGUUCAA